rnacentral:rRNA from 1 species
AACGAACGCUGGCGGCGUGCUUAACACAUGCAAGUCGAACGAGACCGGGACCUUCGGGUCCCCGAGUAAAGUGGCGCACGGGUGAGUAACACGUGGGUAACCUACCCUUCUGUGGGGGAUAACGAUUCGAAAGGGUCGCUAAUACCGCAUACGACCACGAACCCCUCGGGUUUUGGGAAAGCGGCGCAAGUCGCGCAGGAGGAUGGGCCCGCGGACCAUUAGCUAGUUGGUGGGGUAAGAGCCGUACCAAGGCGACGAUGGAGCUGGUCUGAGAGGAUGAUCAGCC